rnacentral:rRNA from 1 species
AUGGCACAAAGUGAUCUUUUUCCUCUAUUUCUAGAUCAAAGCCUGCACGUUAGAUUAUUUGGGAUGAUUUUGCCCUCCUGUACCAAAAUUAGCCGCGAGACAGAAGGAGAGGAACAACAGGGCCGCCACCUUGCCAUCCUUCCUCCCAGGCGCUGCUCUUCUCCUGCCGUCGCCUUGCCGUGCUCUGCCCGCCCGCCCGUUCAUGUGGAGGAGGAGGCGUGGAUGUGUUGUGGUAAGCUCGAUGCUCCCUCGCCAAGCGGCAGAAGGCAAGCCCCGCUCCUUACUCUCGCCGCACCGUUUUUUCGAAGUGUGCCUCAACAUCUUCUUAAUGCUGCCGUGUGA